rnacentral:rRNA from 1 species
GACGAACGCUGGCGGCGUGCUUAACACAUGCAAGUCGUACGGUAAGGCCCUUUCGGGGGUACACGAGCGGCGACCGGGUGCGUGACACGUGCGUAAGCUGCCCACACCUUUGGGAUAACGCUAGGAAACUGAUGCCAAUACUGGAUAUGUGCUCCUGCUGCAUGGUGGGGGUUGGAAAGCUCCGGCGGUUGUGGAUGGACUGGCGGCCUAUCGGCUUGCUGGUUGGGCAGUGGGUUACCAAGGCGGCGUCGGGUAGCCGGCCUGUGGGGGUGACCGGCCACACAGAGACCGAGGGACGGCCCAGACACCUACGGGAGGCAGCAGGGGGGAAGCUUGCAGAAUGGGCGCAGGCCGGAUGCAGCAAGGCCGCGGGCGGGAAAACUGUGUUCGGGGGGUAAAACGCAUGUAGCAGGGACGAAGCUUGUCGUGACGGUACCUGCAGAAAAAGCACCGGCUAACUACGUG